rnacentral:lncRNA from 1 species
CUACAAAGACAGGACAGCCGGCAAAAGAUGAAACGUUUUUGGCUUCGGCUCUCAGUGACCUCGUCCCUUUAAAGUGCGACUUCGAGGAGAUUUCAGAUAUUGCCAUACUUAUUCUAAUUGAACAAAAUUUCAUUAUAAAUUAUGCACACUAUAUAUAAUGAACGUAUAUUCUUGAUGGAAUAUGAUAAAUAUUUUAAAUAUUUUAAUAUUACUUAGUUAUUGUGUAAAACAUGGCAACAUUGCAAAUACUUGACAAGGUUGAACUAGGUUAGUAGGUCAGGGAGUUUUUAACCUACAUUUUUGCAGAAGUUUGUAGUGUUUAUUUGAUAUUUUAUUGUAUUUUUUAUUUAAAUAAAGAAUGAAAUUUUUAAUUGCUGAGCAUAGUGUGAUUCGAUUGGGUUAGUUACCAUUUAAAAUGCUAAGAACAGUUUCUAUUGUUGGAAGGUGAAAAUAAAAACAGCAAAUUGUUUACAGACUUUGUUUAAAUUAGUAUUUGCAGAAAAGUGUCUAUAUUUAUCAAGUAUUUAUCUAAUGUGAAAUAACAAAUUCAUUAAAAGAUAUGUUUGAAUUCUUAUGAUUUCCACUGUUGAAAUGGCAAAACAAUAUAUUUCUAGGAAAUAUCGGAAAUAUCGAAAACGGAAUAUUUUCUAGUGAAAGAAAUACAUUUAAAAGUGAGUGCAUAUUAAGCUAAGGAGAAAUUUUGUAUAAGAAGUUGUUCCAUAUACAGGACAUGCAGAACAUCAAAAUCCAAUUAAAUUAGUAAAGAGCUGAGGGUAUCUAUACUAUAAAAUUUAUAGUUUUGUCUAUUUUUAUCACCAAAAUAUAAGUUACGUAUUUUUGUUAACGAAGGUUGUUUCUUGUUAAGUAACUAAAACAAGGAUCAAAAAAAGAAGACUCAAUCAAUAUGCACCAGUGUAUUUUUAUAAAUAUCACAUAAUUUGCAAAUAUUACAACAAUAAAUGUCUCAGUUUUA